rnacentral:pre_miRNA from 4 species
UCUUAUGGAUGAGCAAAGGAAGUGGUUUCUUGAGAUAGAAUGUACUCCUGGUAAAGAUGCUGUGAA